rnacentral:rRNA from 1 species
UACGGAGGAUCCGAGCGUUGUCCGGAUUUAUUGGGUUUAAAGGGUGCGCAGGCGGGGGAUUAAGUCGGCGGUGAAAUUUUGCAGCUCAACUGUAAAAGUGCCUUCGAAACUGGUUUCCUUGAGUGUAGAUGAAGUAGGCGGAAUUUGUGGUGUAGCGGUGAAAUGCAUAGAUAUCACGAGGACUCCGAUUGCGCAGGCAGCUUACUAAACUACUACUGACGCUCAGGCACGAAGGCGUGGGGAUCAAACAGGAUUAGAUACCCUGGUAGU